rnacentral:rRNA from 1 species
CGGGGCGGGGGCACGGGGGGCCUACGGGAGGCAGCAGUGGGGAAUAUUGGACAAUGGGCGCAAGCCUGAUCCAGCCAUGCCGCGUGAGUGAUGAAGGCCCUAGGGUUGUAAAGCUCUUCACCGGGAAGAUAAUGACGUAACCGAAAGAGG